UGUUGUGCGGCCCACAUUGUUCACAGUUGUCAACAAUUCAGGCUCAACAAUAUUGUUCAAUAUUGUUGACAAGUGUGAACAAUGUGGGCCGCACAAC